GUCAGUGUCUUUAGUACAAGGAUACCAGAUGGGGAGAUGGGAUCAGGCAGGCAAAGGAUUUCUUUGACCAAAGGCUUAAGUCCAUAUUCCUGGGAGUAUGUCUACGAUCCAUACCCUCAGCCAGAGAAAGAUGGAUGAAUCCACCAACCCAGAGGAUUAAACACUCUGAUAUGUCAUUCAUCAAAAGAAAAACACUUUCGAACCAUUCUGUACCUUAGGCAGUUUGUAUAAUACCCUUUCAGCUCUUGGAUCUGGAUUCAAGUUUAAUCCAUAUUGAUGGCAUUUGAUCGAAUGAAUUUGUGGAUGCAAGAUCAUAGAGACAAACUACACAUACUUCACCACUAAUUUUUCAAUACUUGAUACCACUUACAGAACAUAUUUAAGCAGCUGGUUUAGAAAAUAGAAGUAUGUUCUUUAGAGCCAGGUAUAAUGAUGUCAGGAAUGGUAUCCUCUGCAUGUUAUAACAUAGAUUAAAAUGUCUAUUAGUUCA